rnacentral:rRNA from 1 species
UACAGAGGGUGCUAGCGUUGUUCGGAAUCAUUGGGCGUAAAGGGCGUGUAGGCGGUUUUGUUAAGUCAUGUGUGAAAUCCCUCGGCUCAACCGGGGAACGACGCAUGAAACUGGCAAGCUAGAGUACCAAAGGAGGGGGGUGGAAUUCCCGGUGUAGCGGUGAAAUGCGUAGAUAUCGAGAGGAACACCGGUGGCGAAGGCGGCCA